GACGAACGCUGGCGGCGUGCUUAACACAUGCAAGUCGAACGGAAAGGCCCUGCUUUUAUGGGGUGCUCGAGUGGCGAACGGGUGAGUAACACGUGAGUAACCUGCCCUUGACUUUGGGAUAACUUCAGGAAACUGGGGCUAAUACCGGAUAGGAGCUCCUGCUGCAUGGUGGGGGUUGGAAAGUUUCGGCGGUUGGGGAUGGACUCGCGGCUUAUCAGCUUGUUGGUGGGGUAGUGGCUUACCAAGGCUUUGACGGGUAGCCGGCCUGAGAGGGUGACCGGCCACAUUGGGACUGAGAUACGGCCCAGACUCCUACGGGAGGCAGCAGUGGGGAAUAUUGCACAAUGGGCGGAAGCCUGAUGCAGCAACGCCGCGUGCGGGAUGACGGCCUUCGGGUUGUAAACCGCUUUCGCCUGUGACGAGGCGUGAGUGACGGUAAUGGGUAAAGAAGCACCGGCUAACUACGUG
rnacentral:rRNA from 1 species